rnacentral:rRNA from 1 species
AACUAUAAGUAAUUUCUGCUCCAUGUAUACACAAAUAGCCGCAGAAUUAUAACUGUGCUAAGGUAGCAUAAUCAUUUACCUUUUAAUUAAAGGCCUGUAUGAAAGAAUAUACAUUUAAAUUACUUUUUUAUUCAAAAUUUAUUAAAUUUUAAUUAAAAAUAAAAAUGUUUUUAUAAAAAAGAAAGACGAUAAGACCCUAAUGAACUUUACUACAGUUAAGCUGGGGAAGCUAAUUAAAUAUAAUUUUAAUUUGAAUACAAAAAAAAUCUAAUAGCAUUAAAUUCAAACAAGUUACCAUAGGGAUAACAGCGUAAUAUAUUUUUAAAGCUCUUAUUAAAAAAAAAGCUUACGACCUCGAUGUUGAAUUAGAAUACUUUAAAGCGAAAUAGGUUAAAAGUGGGUCUGU